AGCCAAUCAUAGUGACUGGGCGCCGGCGGGGGCCCAGAGAGGACACACAGGCCACGCCUCUCGCGCGCAGGCUCUCGGGAAAGCGUCAGCGGGACUAUAAAAACGCGCACACAGCGUGCGGAGCUCUCUUUCGCUGCAGUCCCUUCUGUGUGCUGCCCCUACUAUGUAGUCUUUGCGGCGAAGUGAGUUUUGGGCCCGCAUCCGUGAGCGGCCGGGAUGCGGGGGACCCCGGGCCGUUGCGGUACCGGCCGCUGGCCGUCAGCACCGCAGGAGCGUGGUGAGGGCUAGCACGCAGCCCAACACCGUGUGAAGCCGAUCUCGUUCGCCGGCGAACUCCACUCUCCCGGAUGGUAACCCGAAUUCAUCGGUAUUGGCUGAGUGAGGGAUGAUACGUUAAGGUAUUUAAAGCAAAGCAGUAGUGGCUGAGAUACAGGGGAUUUUCGCACUUAAUAUCUUGGAAAUGAGUAUUAUGGAUAUUAAUACAGCACUGUAUUCAGUACUGUCCUGACCUUUUAUUUCAUAUAAAGUUUUUCUUUCAUGAACCAAAUAAAUAAAGUUUAGUUGGU